GGAUUGCCUCAGUAGCGGCGAGUGAAGCGGCAAAAGCUCAAAUUUGAAAUCUGGCGUCUUUGGCGUCCGAGUUGUAAUUUGAAGAAGGUAUCUUUGGGCCCGGCUCUUGUCUAUGUUCCUUGGAACAGGACGUCACAGAGGGUGAGAAUCCCGUGCGAUGAGAUGACCCGGGUCUGUGUAAAGUUCCUUCGACGAGUCGAGUUGUUUGGGAAUGCAGCUCUAAGUGGGUGGUAAAUUCCAUCUAAAGCUAAAUAUUGGCGAGAGACCGAUAGCGAACAAGUACAGUGAUGGAAAGAUGAAAAGAACUUUGAAAAGAGAGUGAAAAAGUACGUGAAAUUGUUGAAAGGGAAGGGCUUGAGAUCAGACUUGGUAUUUUGCAUGCUGCUCUCUCGGGGGCGGCCGCUGCGGUUUACCGGGCCAGCAUCGGUUUGGAGCGGCAGGAUAAUGGCGGAGGAAUGUGGCACGGCUUCUGCUGUGUGUUAUAGCCUCUGACGAUGCUGCCAGCCUAGACCGAGGACUGCGGUUUUUAACCUAGGAUGUUGGCAUAAUGAUCUUAAGUCGCCCGUCUUGAAACACGGACCAAGGAGUCUAACGUCUAUGCGAGUGUUUGGGUGUAAAACCCGUACGCGUAAUGAAAGUGAACGAAGGUGGGGGCCCAUUAGGGUGCACCAUCGACCGAUCCUGAUGUGUUCGGAUGGAUUUGAGUAAGAGCAUAGCUGUUGGGACCCGAAAGAUGGUGAACUAUGCCUGAAUAGGGUGAAGCCAGAGGAAACUCUGGUGGAGGCUCGUGAGCGGUUCUGACGUGCAAAUCGAUCGUCGAAUUUGGGUAUAG
rnacentral:rRNA from 1 species